rnacentral:rRNA from 1 species
UACGUAGGGUGCGAGCGUUGUCCGGAAUUAUUGGGCGUAAAGGGCUCGUAGGCGGUUUGUCACGUCAGGAGUGAAAACUCGGGGCUCAACCCCGAGCCUGCUUCUGAUACGGGCAGACUGGAGGUAUGCAGGGGAGAACGGAAUUCCUGGUGUAGCGGUGAAAUGCGCAGAUAUCAGGAGGAACACCGGUGGCGAAGGCGGUUCUCUGGGCAUUACCUGACGCUGAGGAGCGAAAGCGUGGGGAGCAAACGGG